CCUGAUGCAGCGACGCCGCGUGAGGGAUGACGGCCUUCGGGUUGUAAACCUCUUUCGACAGGGACGAAGCGAGAGUGACGGUACCUGUAGAAGAAGCACCGGCCAACUACGUGCCAGCAGCCGCGGUAAUACGUAGGGUGCGAGCGUUGUCCGGAAUUACUGGGCGUAAAGAGCUUGUAGGCGGUCUGUCGCGUCUUCUGUGAAAACUUGGGGCUCAACCUUAAGCUUGCAGGGGAUACGGGCAGACUAGAGUACUUCAGGGGAGACUGGAAUUCCUGGUGUAGCGGUGAAAUGCGCAGAUAUCAGGAGGAACACCGGUGGCGAAGGCGGGUCUCUGGGAAGUAACUGACGCUGAGAAGCGAAAGCGUGGGUAGCGAACAGGAUUAGAUACCCUGGUAGUCCACGCCGUAAACGGUGGGUACUAGGUGUGGGUUUCCUUCCACGGGAUCCGUGCCGUAGCUAACGCAUUAAGUACCCCGCCUGGGGAGUACGGCCGCAAGGCUAAAACUCAAAGGAAUUGACGGGGGCCCGCACAAGCGGCGGAGCAUGUGGAUUAAUUCGAUGCAACGCGAAGAACCUUACCUGGGUUUGACAUACACCGGAAACCUGCAGAGAUGUAGGCCCCCUUGUGGUCG
rnacentral:rRNA from 1 species